GAUGAAGAACGUAGCGAAAUGCGAUACGUAAUGUGAAUUGCAGAAUUCAGUGAAUCAUCGAAUCUUUGAACGCAUAUUGCGCUCUCUGGUAUUCCGGAGAGCAUGCUUGUUUGAGUAUCAGUAAACACCUCAACUUCCAUAUCUUUUUUUGAAAUGGGAGUUGGACUUGAGUGAUCCCAACGCUUUUCCUCACCGAAAAGUGGCGGGUUACUUGAAAUGCAGGUGCAGCUGGACUUUUCUCUGAGCUAUAAGCAUAUCUAUUUUGUCUGCCUAAAAAACAGAUUAUUACCUUUGCUGCAGCUAACAUAAAGGAGAUUAGUUCUUGUGCUGACUGAUGCAGGAUUCACAAAGACAGCUUCGGCCGACUUUGUAAACUCGAUCUCAAAUCAAGUAAGACUACCCGCUGAACUUAAGCAUAUCAAUAAGCGGAGGA
rnacentral:misc_RNA from 1 species